UACGUAGGGGGCGAGCGUUGUCCGGAAUUAUUGGGCGUAAAGAGCGUGUAGGCGGCUUGGUAAGUCUGCUGUGAAACCUUGGGGCUCAACCCUAAGCGUGCAGUGGAUACUGUCAAGCUAGAGGAUGGUAGAGGCCAGUGGAAUUCCCAGUGUAGCGGUGAAAUGCGCAGAUAUUGGGAGGAACACCAGUAGCGAAGGCGGCUGGCUGGGCCAUUCCUGACGCUGAGACGCGAAAGCUAGGGGAGCGAACAGG
rnacentral:misc_RNA from 1 species